AAGCACAGCGAUGUGUUCAGCCGAGUGGUACUAAUAGGUCGAGGGCUUGAU
rnacentral:rRNA from 1 species